ensembl:snoRNA
UGGACCACUGAUGACCACUGGUGGUGAAUGAGUCAUAUCUGAUGUCCAUUCCUUCUGUUUGACGUGGUUCAA